GGGCGUAUGGUGUAGUGGUAUCACUCAUGCUUUGCACCAAUCACUUGCUCAUCACAGGUGACGUUCUUGUAUGCGGUCCAGGGUUCAAACCCCUGUGCGUCCA